rnacentral:rRNA from 1 species
GCUAUACAUGCAAGUCGAACGCACAGCGAAAGGUGCUUGCACCUUUCAAGUGAGUGGCGAACGGGUGAGUAACACGUGGAUAACCUACCUCAAGGUUGGGGAUAACAUUUGGAAACAGAUGCUAAUACCGAAUAAAACUUCGUAUCGCAUGAUACAAGGUUAAAAGGCGCUACGGCGUCACCUAGAGAUGGAUCCGCGGUGCAUUAGUUAGUUGGUGGGGUAAAGGCCUACCAAGACAAUGAUGCAUAGCCGAGUUGAGAGACUGAUCGGCCACAUUGGGACUGAGACACGGCCCAAACUCCUACGGGAGGCUGCAGUAGGGAAUCUUCCACAAUGGGCGAAAGCCUGAUGGAGCAACGCCGCGUGUGUGAUGAAGGCUUUCGGGUCGUAAAGCACUGUUGUAUGGGAAGAACAGCUAGAGUAGGGAAUGACUUUAGUUUGACGGCACCAUACCAGAAAGGGACGGCUAAAUACGUGCCAGCAGCCGCGGUAAUACGUAUGUCCCGAGCGUUAUCCGGAUUUAUUGGGCGUAAAGCGAGCGCAGACGGUUGAUUAAGUCUGAUGUGAAAGCCCGGAGCUCAACUCCGGAAAGGCAUUGGAAACUGGUCAACUUGAGUGCAGUAGAGGUAAGUGGAACUCCAUGUGUAGCGGUGGAAUGCGUAGAUAUAUGGAAGAACACCAGCGGCGAAGGCGGCUUACUGGACUGUAACUGACGUUGAGGCUCGAAAGUGUGGGUAGCAAACAGGAUUAGAUACCCUGGUAGUCCACACCGUAAACGAUGAACACUA